rnacentral:rRNA from 1 species
UACGAAGGGAGCUAGCGUUGUUCGGAAUCACUGGGCGCAAAGUGCACGUAGGCGGAUGUGUCAGUCAGGGGUGAAAUCCCGGAGCUCAACUUCGGAACUGCCUUUGAUACAGCACAUCUGGAGUCCGGAAGAGGUGGGUGGAAUUCCUAGUGUAGAGGUGAAAUUCGUAGAUAUUAGGAAGAACACCGGUGGCGAAGGCGGCCCACUGGUCCGGUACUGACGCUGAGGUGCGAAAGCGUGGGGAGCAAACAGG